rnacentral:rRNA from 1 species
AGCAGCCGCGGUAAUUCCAGCUCCAAUAGCGUAUAUUAAAGUUGUUGCAGUUAAAAAGCUCGUAGUUGAAUUUCGGGAUCAAUAUUUCGGUCAUGCCGUUGGUAUGCACUGUUAUCAUUGAUUUCUCACCUUCUAAAGAACCGUAAUGCCAUUAAUUUGGUGUUACGGGGAAUUAGGACUGUUACCUUGAAAAAUUAGAGUGUUUAAAGCAGGCUCACGCUUGAAUACAUUAGCAUGGAAUAAUGAAAUAGGAAAUCCGAUUCUAUUUUGUUGGUUUCUAGGAUCGAUGUAAUGAUUAAUAGGGAUAGUUGGGGGCAUUAGUAUUCAAUUGUCAGAGGUGAAAUUCUUGGAUUUAUUGAAGACUAACUACUGCGAAAGCAUUUGCCAAGGAUGUUUUCAUUAA